UGCUUAAGUAUAUUUGCAUCACUAUUUGUUUCAUGAAGAUACAUAUUGUAGGAAAAUAUUAAAAACUCACUUUCUUAAAAAGCAAAUACUAACCCUAUUUAAUACUUAUUUGCAUACUUUCUCAAAGAGCAUGUACUCAAUGUAUUUAUUUAUAGCAACCUUACUUUGUGGACUUGAAGGAAUAUUGUUACAAACGGAGACACUCUAAUCAGAGAUGUUUUUGUGAGGGACUUCAUCAUAAUGUGUAUAAUGUGACUUGCAGAUUUCAAGCCACACCUAGUCUGAAUGAAGCUCAUUUUUAUGGUGAACUUUAUCACUAUCAGAAACGUAAAGUCCAAAGCAUUCCAGAAAAGUUUCCUAAAAUUUACGAUAUUUCAGAAAUAAGGUUAAUGGUCAAUGAGUUUGAAAUCAACAACUUUAACAACUGCUCUUUUCUUAUGGACACCAAGAAACCAACGAUUUAUUUCUGCUGCUCCAACACACCCUGGCCUUGUGUAACUCUUAUUAAAAGUAAAGGCAACACCCUAGCACAAAGUGAACACUGUGUUACCUACACAAGCAACCAGCCACCAGAAUUAAAGUACACUCUAGGUUAUAAAGUCUGUAAUAACGAAAAGAAAUCUGAAUUCUUCAUAUGCGAUGUUUCAAAUGCUUUUCCCUUGAGUGCUUACUCAGGUUCAAUGGUCUUUAUUUUAAUUUUGAGAAUAGUGCUGCUGAUAAUUUUUACAUAAAGUUUGGUAAAAAAAGGAAUACUAACUAUACGAAUUUCAAAGGUAUUUUCAAGACUGUGAUCAUUGCAUUAAUUAUAGUAGUAAAGUGAACUUGUAGGUAUUAGAUUUUAAAAAUAGAAGUGGAUUUAUUUUUGCAUUUAACUAUUAUUUAUUUUUGACGAGGUGUUGAAUUGAUACCUUAUGUAUGUUUGCUUUUGUUAGACAGUUAAUGCUAUUGGGCCAUUGUACAUUUGUUUUCCCGUUCUUCUAUGUAAUGCAGGAACUUUUAUAUUAUUUUAUUUACCACUUAGUUUGAUUUUGAUACAUUUAUACAGAUAUUAUUACUAUAGUUUGUCAUUUAACAUAAUUCACGUGUUGUUUUUUUAAAGAUAUUUUACCUGUAAAAUCUGGCAUACAAGGCUUUGAUAUGUGUCCCGAAGAUUUAGGUAUUGGCAGUAUUUCACUUAUACACGCCAGCUAAUUUUAGGCUUGACUAUUUUGCACUUCUGAAGCAGAAAAUCCUUAGGCCGUUGACUUCGGCGUCUAUUUAAGUUUUCCUUUCUACUCUUGCACCUGUCUUUGUCACGGUGUUUUCUUUGGGCCUCAAAAGUGUCUACAGUGACAUUCUUGAGAGCACUUCAUCUGUCUCUUUCAAUGGCCGUGGACUGCUGCUUUUCUUUGCCGCAGUGAGGACAAAAUGAUGCUUGAAAAUCUUGGAUAUGUUUUUUUUAAUAUAAUUUUCUUAAAGACUUACAUUCUUUUUUUUUCAACUUUGAUGUAUAAAAUAUAUUUACAGAAAUGUAAAAUACAGGUAUGGGCAUGGUUUGUUAAUUUAUCUUUAUUGAACAAAUAAGUUUAAUUUAAAGAUUCUUAUGCUUUCUUUAGUGAGAAACGGAUUUAGUGCUUAUAUAGUUCACUCAACAAAAAGAAACACACAAUUAACUAAAUUAAAACUAUUAAAUGCACCCCUCACAAUGAGCACGAUUUAAAAAGUAUUGCCUAGUAUAUUUAAAAAAAACAAAUCAUGUCCAUUUUGCAAAUAGAGUAUUCUAAAGUUGUUGAUGUCAGAGAAUAAAACACAUUGAUUAUUUUACUUUCAUACACUGCCAAAAGACCACAUUUCAUUUUGGUGCUUCUAUGUUACACAUACAUUUAUAUUGUAUUUGAAAUAUAUUUCAAAAAGAUCAAUUUAUUAAAUAUUGAAUGAGCUUAAAUGCAUUUCACGUAAUGUACAAAGAUAGUUUUGGGCUGACAUUUUUAAAAAUUGUGUAUUCAUUCAGAUGUUAUUUAUAGAAAAAUAAAGUGUAACGACUCUUUGUAUCCGGGCUCAUUGCAAUCGCUGCCCAAUACGACGCAAUCACCCAAAGAACCUGACAACCUAUGCUCCAAAAAACGUAAAAAUGUAAUGACCAUUAAAUCAAUUUCAAUACUGUACAAUUGGUAACUGUAACACUGACUGUACAAAUGCUUCAAAGUCAAUAUCCAUACUGCCAUAUAGACUCUGCACUGCCGUAUCAAAUUGUGCUGACCGCCUCCUACUGGACAAGUAUUGGAUUCAACUGUUCCGGACAGACUUAACAUUGGACUUACUGUAUCGGUCUGGAUCUUAAGUCGUGACUUCCUCGAAAACGAAUUGUGAAGUGGCUUGACACCUUCGCUUUUGUAUUGCGUCCCCAAAGACCUUCUCGAUUCUAACAGAAGAUAUUCAGUUUUUCUCUGGAUGAUCACAUGACCAUAUUCGACGUGAAUCGCGUGGGUAGAAUUCACAACACAGAUCUUUCCUGAAAGUCUCCGCGUCGCUACCCAAGAUGGUUGGCCACUUUUCUAGCGCUGGCCUGUUUUUAUCCGUGUCCGCUGAAUAAACACACACGAUUACCCUUGUGCGCGUCUCCAUCAUAGUUAUAAUAAUAUAUUUAUGUUUGACCGUUAGUUUUAUGGUGGUUAGUUCAGGUUGUUAGAUCGUGGUACUGAUAACGCGAACAUUGUGGGCUUAAUUCUCAUACAAACUUUAUUUAGGUCUUUAUUUAUCAAUGAUCCAUUAAACUUUAAUGAGAAAAAAUAAAUAAAAUUAGAGUACGGUUAGUCAACAUUCUGUUUACCACACAGAAUUUUAAUGUUAUCUUUGUCAAUUUCGUGACACUCUGUGGAUUUCGAACUAGGGGACCCGGGUUAAAAUCCUUGUGAACUCCUGGAAUUUGAAUUUCUGGUUCUUUAGGUCGCCUCUGAGUCCACCCAACUUUAAUGUGUACCUGACGUUAGUUGGGGAAAAUAAAGGCGUUUGGUCGUUGUGCUGGCCACAUGCCACCUUCGUUAACCCUGUGCAACAAAAUACAGAUGACCUUUACAUCAUCUGCCUUAUAAAUCAUAAGGUCUUAAAGGGACACUGUCUAUUUUUACACUUAUGUGAUAUGUUUAUAUUUUUAUUUUAAUUGUUAAAAAAUUAUGAAACAUACAAUUUUAACGUUCUACCCUACUGCAGUCAACAAGUUGUACUCGCUUUACUUUUAGAAGGAAACCAAAAUGGUCACACAAAAACGACAGACAGACAAGAGAAGUUAAAUAAAGUGCCAAUAAAAAAAAGUAUUCUAGAGUUUAAACAUUUUUAAGCUAGUCAAAAAUGUCUUCACUCAAAUUGUUGAUAUUGGUGUUAUGUAUAUGUUUAUAUUUUGUUGUUGUUGUUUCAAUUUUUUUGUAAAGAUGACACCAAAUUAUGAGGCU
rnacentral:sRNA from 1 species